UUUCCGUAGGUGAACCUGCGGAAGGAUCAUUAUAAAUGAAAAACGAAUAACUUCAGGGAAGAAGGGAACCUGCACGGUGACCUCCCCUGUCGGGCCACCCAAUACCUUCAAAAUGCCGCCGUCCUAGCGGUGGCAGACGAAAAAAAAACAAGAAAAACAAAAUAGAAACAGGCACGGUGGCCCGUUCACCUUCACACAACCCUCCGAGUACCGCUUCCAUGUUGCUUCCCCGCAAAUCCACCUCUUUGGUGAGCGCGGGGGAGGCCCGCAUCAAAUUCACCUGAAUGUCACAGCAGUCAGACAGCCAUUCAUGGAAACAAUAAAACUUUCAACAACGGAUCUCUUGGUUCCC
rnacentral:misc_RNA from 1 species